AUUGAACGCUGGCGGCAGGCCUAACACAUGCAAGUCGAACGGUAACAGGAAGACGCUUGCUUCUUUGCUGCCGAGUGGCGGACGGGUUAGUAAUGUCUGGGAAACUGCCUGAUGGAGGGGGAUAACUACUGGAAACGGUAGCUAAUACCGCAUAACGUCGCCAGACCAAUGAGGGGGACCUUCGGGCCUCUUGCCAUCGGAUGUGCGCAGAUGGGAUCAGCUAGGAGGUGGGGUAACGGCUCGCCUAGGCGACGAACCCUAGCUGGUCUGAGAGGAUGACCAGCUACACUGGAACUGAGACACGGCACAGACUCCGACGGGAGGAAGCAGUGGGGACUAUUGCGGGAGGGGGGAAAGCCGGAUGCAGGAAUGCCGGGUGUAUGAAGAAGGACUUAGGGUGGUAAAGUGAUGUCAGCGGGGAGGAAGGGAGGAACGUUAAUACCGGUGGUCAUUGACGUUACCCGGAGAAGAAGCACCGGCUAACUCCGUG
rnacentral:rRNA from 1 species